GCCUGGGUGGCUAAGCAGGUGAGCAUCUGACUUUGGCUCAGGUCAUGAUCCCAGGGUCUUGGGAUCAAGUCCCGCAUCAGGCU
rnacentral:tRNA from 1 species